UACAGAGGGUGCGAGCGUUGUCCGGAAUCACUGGGCGUAAAGGGCGCGUAGGUGGCGGCCCAAGUCCAUGGUGAAAGCUCGAUGCUCAACAUCGAGUCGGCCACGGAUACUGGGUUGCUCGAGCACUGUAGGGGCAGAUGGAAUUCCGGGUGUAGCGGUGGAAUGCGUAGAUAUCAGGAGGAACACCGGUGGUGUAGACGGCUUUCUGGACCGUAACUGACGCUGAAACACGAAAGCGUGGGUAGCAAACAGG
rnacentral:rRNA from 1 species